GAUGAACGCUGGCGGCGUGCCUAAUACAUGCGAGUCGAGCGAACAGACGAGGAGCUUGCUCCUUCGACGUUAGCGGCGGACGGGUGAGUAACACGUAGGUAACCUACCUAUAAGACUGGGAUAACUUCGGGAAACCGGAGCUAAUACCGGAUAAUAUUUCGAACCGCAUGGUUCGAUAGUGAAAGAUGGCUUUGCUAUCACUUAUAGAUGGACCUGCGCCGUAUUAGCUAGUUGGUAAGGUAACGGCUUACCAAGGCAACGAUACGUAGCCGACCUGAGAGGGUGAUCGGCCACACUGGAACUGAGACACGGUCCAGACUCCUACGGGAGGCAGCAGUAGGGAAUCUUCCGCAAUGGGCGAAAGCCUGACGGAGCAACGCCGCGUGAGUGAUGAAGGUCUUCGGAUCGUAAAACUCUGUUAUUAGGGAAGAACAAACGUGUAAGUAACUGUGCGCGUCUUGACGGUACCUAAUCAGAAAGCCACGGCUAACUACGUG
rnacentral:rRNA from 1 species